AAAAAUAUGAACAAUAAUAAAAGAGAAGGGAUAGAAAGAUCAACACAAAAAUUUAUAUUGGUUCGACCAAACCUACAUCCAGUCUUCUUUCAACAACUUGAGUUGAAGAGAACCUCUAUAUUGAUAGCGUUUUAAGCAAGAAAUACAGAGAACUACCCUCUCAAAUGUACUCUCCUUUCCCAAAUCAAUAUCACCUAUAGCACAAGACUUGAAUACCUCACAGUCUUAACCUAGAAAGCUAUCCCCACUCU
rnacentral:lncRNA from 1 species